UACAGAGGUCUCAAGCGUUGUUCGGAUUCAUUGGGCGUAAAGGGUGCGUAGGCGGCGCGGUAAGUCGGGUGUGAACUCUCGGAGCUUAACUCCGAAACUGCAUUCGAUACUGCCGUGCUUGAGGACUGGAGAGGAGACUGGAAUUUACGGUGUAGCGGUGAAAUGCGUAGAUAUCGUAAGGAAGACCAGUGGCGAAGGCGGGUCUCUGGACAGUUCCUGACGCUGAGGCACGAAGGCCAGGGGAGCAAACGGG
rnacentral:rRNA from 1 species